rnacentral:tRNA from 1 species
UGUUAUAUAAUUUAAAUUUAAAAUAUUAAUUUUGUAAAUUAAUUAUAAUUUUGAAAAAUUUAUAAUAU